AGACUCCCUGCCGAGCAGGGAGCCCGAUGCGGGACUCAAUCCCGGGACUCCAGGAUCAUGACCUGAGCCGAAGGCAGUCGCUUAUCCAACUGAGCCACGCAGGCGCCCUGUUAGGGUCUUUAUUGACACCAGCCCCCCGAACCUUUACUAGGCUGGUGGAAGGUUCAGGGUGAUGUGACUGGGCUCUGCAAGGGGGUGGGGGGGCAUUGCAGGAGAGGCUGACAGCCUUGGUGUCCUCUCCAUGUACAAGGUGAGUUGGAGCCUAUUGAAGGACAAAGGGAAUUUCAGUGGAUGGAGGGACCAGGGCUUUCACUAGGCAAAAAAUACUUGCUGAAGCCGCUUGUGGGCUAGGAACUGUGCUGGCCCUUGUGGGGAUGCAGAUGUUAUUCAUCCAACAAAUACAUAUGGGGCACUUAUUAUGUGGCAAACAUAAUUUUAGGCACUGGACACAUGGGAGAACAAGAUAAAAAUCCUCAGAGGUGGCUACCAGGCAGGGCUGGCAGUGCGGGGAUGGUAGGGGCCAGCUAGAAGGUGAGAGAAUAGGGGCUUUAAUGGGGGGCAGCACGCAGCUGUGUGGGACCUAGAGGUAGAAGGCAGGGAAGUCCUCACACAGGAUAUCCUGACCCAUCUGGGAUCUAAAGCAAGACGAGGGGGCGUGGCCCCCAAAUUGAGGGAAGGGCACAUGCCAAGUCUGGAAGGUGAGCGGCUCAGGUGAAUUCAGAGUCAGGUCGGGCUGUGGAAUUCUCUUAGUUCCUCCUCCGCCUGGGCCAGGCCCUGAGCGGUCACCGCUGUGAGCAGGAUGCACAGCCCUGGCUAAGGGUGAAGGGGGUGUUGCUUGGAGGGAUGGGCUGGGUACUGAAAGGUGUGUUUUAGAGCGAGUUGGGGGGGGGGUGACGGAAGUGACUAGUUACAAGCCGUCGUCCCAUUCCAAGCAGUCCGCCUGGCGCCCCCAGGUGUAGCCGCCCUGCGCGGAGUCUAGUUCACGGAUGGGGAAACUGAGGCCGUGAGACAGGAGGCCGACCAGACCUCCCCUCCACGGGGAGGGAAGACGUCGGGUGGCCAGCAGGACAGCAGCCAGGAAGUCCUCCCGACGUAGCCUCCGGCACAAAGCACGUGGGCAAGCAGAGGAGUCGCGCGCCGCGCCGCCCCGGCGGGCGGGAGGCGGGGCCGGAAGGACAGGUGGCGGGCCGCGCAGCUGCGCGCGCAGAUUGUGGAAAUCCGCGAAGGUAUCGUAAGGAGGGGGCGUGGCUUGGGAGGAGUUGCACUCCCUCAAGACGGGGCGGGGUUUGGCGAGAAUUUACAGGAAAUGGAAAGAGGCCACCUGCCAAUUUGGAAAGAUGGGGCGUGGCCUAGCCCCAGUCGACGGAGGGGCGCGGCCCCGAGCCCCUGUGGGGCGUGGUCUCGCCCUCCUUGGGCGGGAGGGGCGUGGCCCAGCUCCGCGCCCGGUGGCUCUGAGCCUGCGCGCGCCGGAGUCAGGGUUCACGGCGGCGUCGGCUGUGGCGGGAAACGCUGUUUGAAGCGGGAAGAAGACAGGAACCCUCCCCCAGCCCUGACUAGCCCAGCGGGAUGGAUGGCAAGCGGCGGCCAGGCCCAGGGCCUGGGGUGCCCCCGAAGCGCGCCCGUGGGGGCCUCUGGGAUGAGGAUGAGCCAUGUCAGCCAUCCCAGUUCGAGGAGGAGCUAGCGCUGAUGGAGGAGAUGGAGGCAGAACACAGGCUGCAGGAACAGGAGGAGGAGCUGCUGCAGCCGGGCCUGGACGGAGCAGUGGAUGGGCAGUUCUCCCCAACGGCCAUAGAUGCCCGCUGGCUGCGGCCCCCCCCGCCCCCCCUGGACCCCCGGACGGAGCCCCUCAUCUUCCAGCAGUUGGAAAUCGACCAUUACGUGGGCCCAGCACAGCCCCCGCCUGGAGCACCCCAGCGGUCGUGCGGCCCCGUGCCCGUGCUCCGUGCCUUUGGAGUUACCGACGAGGGCGUGUCGGUCUGCUGCCACAUCCACGGCUUUGCGCCCUACUUCUAUACCCCAGCGCCCCCUGGUUUUGGGCCCGAGCACCUGGGUGACCUGCAGCGGGAGCUGAAUGCGGCCAUCAGCAGGGACCAGCGCGGAGGGAAGGAGCUCACGGGGCCGGCGGUGCUGUCUGUGGAGCUGUGCUCCCGGGAGAGCAUGUUCGGGUACCAAGGGCACGGCCCUUCCCCGUUUCUGCGCAUCACCCUGGCACUGCCGCGCCUCAUGGCCCCCGCCCGCCGCCUCCUGGAGCAGGGCAUCCGUGUGGCAGGCCUGGGCACCCCCAGCUUCGCGCCCUAUGAGGCCAACGUCGAUUUUGAGAUCCGGUUCAUGGUGGACACAGACAUCGUCGGCUGCAACUGGUUGGAACUCCCAGCAGAGAAAUACGUCCUGAGGCUGGAGGGGAAGGCCACGCUGUGUCAGCUGGAGGCGGACGUGCUGUGGUCUGACGUAGUCAGUCACCCGCCGGAAGGGCAGUGGCAGCGAAUCGCACCCCUGCGCGUGCUCAGCUUUGACAUCGAGUGUGCUGGCCGCAAAGGCAUCUUCCCUGAACCCGAGCGGGACCCUGUGAUCCAGAUCUGCUCACUGGGCCUGCGCUGGGGUGAGCCGGAGCCCUUCCUGCGCCUGGCGCUCACUCUACGGCCCUGCGCCCCUAUCCUGGGCGCCAAAGUGCAGAGCUACGAGCGGGAGGAGGAACUGCUCCAGGCAUGGUCAACCUUCAUUCGCACCAUGGACCCUGAUGUGAUCACCGGCUACAACAUUCAGAACUUUGACCUUCCGUACCUCAUCUCCCGGGCCCAGACUCUCAAGGUGCAUACAUUCCCCUUCCUGGGCCGCGUGUCUGGCCUCCGCUCCAACAUCCGGGACUCGUCCUUCCAGUCCAAGCAGACGGGCCGCCGGGACAGCAAGGUGGUCAGCAUGGUGGGCCGCGUGCAGAUGGACAUGCUGCAGGUGCUGCUGCGGGAGUACAAGCUCCGCUCCUACACGCUCAACGCCGUGAGCUUCCACUUCCUGGGCGAGCAGAAAGAGGACGUGCAGCACAGCAUCAUCACCGACCUGCAGAACGGGAAUGACCAGACGCGCCGCCGGCUGGCCGUGUACUGCCUCAAGGACGCCUUCCUGCCCCUGCGGCUGCUGGAGCGGCUCAUGGUGCUGGUGAACGCCAUGGAGAUGGCGCGGGUCACUGGCGUGCCCCUCGGCUACCUGCUCAGCCGUGGCCAGCAGGUCAAGGUCGUGUCCCAGCUGCUGCGGCAGGCCAUGCACGAGGGACUGCUGAUGCCCGUGGUAAAGACGGAGGGCGGCGAGGACUACACGGGAGCCACAGUCAUCGAGCCCCUCAAAGGGUACUACGAUGUGCCCAUCACCACCCUGGACUUCUCCUCUCUGUACCCAUCCAUCAUGAUGGCCCACAAUCUGUGCUACACCACACUCCUGCGGCCCGGGGCUGCCCAGAGACUAGGGCUGACCGAGGAUCAGUUCAUCAAGACACCCACAGGGGAUGAGUUUGUGAAGACAUCAGUGCGGAAAGGGCUGCUGCCCCAGAUCCUGGAGAACCUGCUCAGCGCCCGGAAGAGGGCCAAGGCUGAGCUGGCCAAGGAGACAGACCCCCUGCGUCGGCAGGUCUUGGACGGGCGGCAGCUGGCACUGAAAGUGAGCGCCAACUCUGUCUAUGGCUUCACUGGUGCCCAGGUGGGCAAGCUGCCGUGCCUGGAGAUCUCUCAGAGUGUCACUGGGUUCGGGCGCCAGAUGAUUGAGAGAACAAAGCAGCUGGUGGAGUCCAAGUACACGGUGGAGAAUGGCUAUGGCGCCCACGCCAAGGUGGUAUAUGGUGACACUGACUCAGUCAUGUGCCGAUUUGGUGUCUCCUCUGUGGCCGAGGCGAUGGCUCUGGGGCGGGAGGCCGCAGACUGGGUGUCAGGCCACUUUCCCCCGCCGAUCCGGCUCGAGUUUGAAAAGGUCUACUUUCCCUACCUGCUCAUCAGCAAGAAGCGGUACGCCGGCCUGCUCUUCUCCUCCCGGCCGGACGCUCAUGACCGCAUGGACUGCAAGGGCCUGGAGGCCGUGCGCCGGGACAACUGCCCCCUCGUGGCCAACCUCGUCACUGCGUCCCUGCGCCGCCUGCUCAUUGACAGAGAUCCCGCGGGCGCCGUGGCCCACGCGCAGGACGUCAUCUCCGACUUGCUGUGUAACCGCAUUGACAUCUCCCAGCUGGUCAUCACCAAGGAGCUGACCCGCGCGGCCGCGGACUACGCCGGCAAGCAGGCCCAUGUGGAGCUGGCCGAGAGGAUGAGGAAGCGGGACCCCGGGAGUGCGCCCAGCUUGGGCGACCGUGUCCCCUACGUGAUCAUCGGUGCUGCCAAGGGCGUGGCUGCCUACAUGAAGUCCGAGGACCCCCUGUUUGUGCUGGAGCACAGCCUGCCCAUCGACACGCAGUACUACUUAGAGCAACAGCUCGCCAAGCCGCUCCUGCGCAUCUUCGAGCCCAUCCUGGGCGAGGGCCGCGCCGAGGCCGUGCUGCUGAGGGGUGACCACACGCGCUGCAAGACCGUGCUCACGGGCAAGGUGGGCGGCCUCCUGGCCUUUGCCAAACGCCACAGCUGCUGCGUCGGCUGCCGCACGGUCCUCGGUCACCAGGGUGAGCCCCGGGCCCCCGGCCCCCGCCCCACGAGCUGGCAGUGCCACCCGGAUGGGCCCCGGCCCCUGGCUGGGGGCGCCCGUUUCCAGGCACCCACCCCCUCGAGGGUCCUGGGCCCCCCGCCCAGGGAGUUCCCCGGGGAGUUUUCUCCCACACACUUGCUCCCUUGUUCUCUUGUCUCCGGGGACUUUCAGGAGCCGGGAUGGGCAGCGGGUGGGGAAGGGGCAGGGAUAGGGCGGCCCGGGCCCUGGCUGGGCCCCAGCUCCCCUGUGCCGCCCCGCCCCCUCUGCCAGGAGCCGUGUGCAAGUUCUGCCAGCCUCGGGAGUCCGAGCUGUAUCAGAAGGAGGUGUCCCACCUGAACGCUCUGGAGGAGCGCUUCUCGCGCCUCUGGACCCAGUGCCAGCGCUGUCAGGGCAGCCUGCAUGAGGAUGUCAUCUGCACCAGCCGGGACUGCCCCAUCUUCUACAUGCGCAAGAAGGUUCGGAAGGACCUGGAAGACCAGGAGCAGCUUCUGAGGCGCUUUGGCCCUCCCGGCCCUGAGGCCUGGUGACCUCUGACCGGGGCAGGCUUCUCACCAGGGCUGGGGGGCGGGGGGGCAGUGUUGGCAGAGAAUUAAUAAAGUUCAGGCCUUUUGUUUC